CCUCAGUCGCAAAGUAGAUCCCGGUGCGCUCGCCUGCCUCGUCCCGGCGGUUUCCACUCUACGAGGAGUCCGCUUUGCUUGGCUUCUGCAACCGCAGAGCUUCAAAGAGUCAGUUGGGACUUUCCUUCCUGCCUUGGAGCAACUUGUAGAUCUUCCGUCGGGCUGCUUUGAUUCUGCUUUUCACUUCUUCAGCAAGUAGAAGUGCAACCAGGUCCAUCCGUGGCCGUUAGCUGUUGGUUCGCUCCAGUGUCCUACUCUCAAAUCUGCAAAUAUGAUCAUUAGACUGGGACGCUUGACUCCUGGAUACUUCCGCCUCCUGCAGAGGCAGGUGUCCGGCGAGAUCCAGACGCAGCCUCAGGACCGAGCCUUGAACCAGAUCGCCAUGAUGCUGGCCAUCAUGGGCCUCAGUCUGUCCUACUACAGCGCCAAGCAGAUGACGGAGAAAGUCCAGCGCGUUCCUGGACACUGAAGAUUCCCUGAACUCCGGUCUGAAUGAAUCCCGGAGAUGAUGAAACCAAACAAAGCCAAAUGGGAGAUUAAGAUUGGAGAGAUUGGAGAGAUUGGAGAGAUUGGAGAGAUUGGAGAGAUUGGAGAGAUUGGAGAGAUUGGAGAGAAAGAGACUGAGAUACUGAGAUCAAAGAGUUUGUCCGGCACUUUCCUUACACUAACUCACGAUCACAAACACCGUAAACCUGAGUCACUGGAUUAACACUUCACGUUCACCAUGAGCCACCAAGAGUUCAGGGCUGCUGUUGAGGCGAUCCUCUGAUUGCAGAUUGCAGAUCGCAGCUUUAGCGUAGCCGGGAAUUGGAGAACAAAUGAACGACUGUCCAAGAUGGCGUUUCAUAGAGAUAGGGGGCAGGUUUUAUAGUCAGAAGAAGAAGAAAGAAAGUCUAAUCUGUUGAGGCCUGGAUGUCGGUGGUUGCUGUGGUAUACACUCCUCCAAAAAGUUUAUUUUGAAACACCCUAUGGUUCUGUGUGUUUUUCUGUAAGACCUUUUGGGAUAAUAACGUUUUUAAAGGGAAUAAUCUAUUAGCAUAAGAACCAAUGCUUUUUAAAGGAAUAUAAUACUAAAUAUUAUUAUUACUAUUUGAAUACUGUGUUUUAAUGUAUUAAACAAGUAUCGACCACAGACCAGGAGCUUUCUGUACCACGUAACCAUCGACAGCAGGUUAAAUAUUCACGAAUGGUCAUAAAAGGCAUGUGAAAAGUUUGUUCUUUAAGGCGGUAUAGAUGCAGAUGAGGUGCCACAGCGAACUCUGAGAACUCUGUACACUGUAAGACCAGUAAAAACGAAAUAUCUAUCUGUUCGGUGUUUGAUGCUGUUACCACUUUCACUAUACUAUCCAGAGCAAUGCAAACUAUAAAGUAGCCUGUAAAUCACUUUUUUUGGAACAAAUCAACGCGUUUAAGGGACUUUUAUUCUUUCCUACUUUAUCGGAACUCCUUUUUUCUUUUGUAUUCCUCACAUUUUGUGUGUUUUCGUUAAAACUGUGUAAAGUACCUAGUUAAGUGUUGACUGUGACUUUUCUAAUCUGUUUGAAUGCAUGAGUGUGAAACUUUUGAACGAUGUGAAACUGUAUUAUUGUUACUAAUGAAUUUUAUUGUGAUGAAUGUAUAUUGCUAUUUUUAAAUAAAUGAACGAAUAAAAGCUGUGAAAUUAAACAAAAUCAAGCUAUGAA